GACGAACGCUGGCGGCGUGCUUAACACAUGCAAGUCGAACGGAAAGGCCCUGCUUGCAGGGUACUCGAGUGGCGAACGGGUGAGUAACACGUGGGUGAUCUGCCCUGCACUUCGGGAUAAGCUUGGGAAACUGUGUCUAAUACCGGAUAGGACCGCACUUUAGUGUGUGUGGUGGAAAGUUUUUUCGGUGUAGGGUGAGCUCGCGGCCUAUCAGCUUGUUGGUGGGGUAAUGGCCUACCAAGGCGGCGACGGGUAGCCGGCCUGAGAGGGUGUACGGCCACAUUAGGGCUGAGAUACGGCCCAGACUCCUACGGGGGGCAGCAGUGGGGAAUAUUGCACAAUGGGCGCAAGACUGAUGCAGCGACGCCGCGUGGGGGAUGAAGGCCUUCGGGUUGUAAAAUCCUUUCGCUAGGGACGAAGCGUUGUUGUGACGGUACCUAGAGAAGAAGCACCGGCUAACUACGUG
rnacentral:rRNA from 1 species